rnacentral:rRNA from 1 species
UACGUAGGGGGCAAGCGUUGUCCGGAUUUAUUGGGCGUAAAGAGCGUGUAGGCGGCCAGAUAGGUCCGUUGUGAAAACUCGAGGCUCAACCUCGAGACGCCGAUGGAAACCAUUUGGCUAGAGUCCGGAAGAGGAGAGUGGAAUUCCCGGUGUAGCGGUGAAAUGCGCAGAUAUCGGGAAGAACACCCGUGGCGAAGGCGGUUCUCUGGGACGGUACUGACGCUGAGACGCGAAAGCGUGGGGAGCGAACAGG